GUUGAAGAACUCCUUUCAGCAUUUCUUAUAAGGCAAGUCCAGUGGUGAUCAACUCCCUCAGCUGUUGUUUGUUAGGAAAGUGUUUAUCUCACCUUCAUUUCUGAUGGACAGCUUUGCCAGAUGAGGAAACUGGAAGCUGAGACUUUGAGGAAAUCUCCUAAGUUUACAAAUGAAUAUUACUUAGAGCUCACAUUCAAACUCAGGAUCUCAAGGGAUCCCAGUGAGUUGGUGAUUAUCUACAGUAUUGAAAAAAUGUUGGACUUGAUCCCAAGAGAACUGUGAAUUCGUGUUGGUUUUUCUACUUGGUACCUUGGUGGUCAAGAGACAAUUUCUAUGUCCUGGCUCUGUUUUUUCAUUUGCAUAAUGAGAGGAAUGAAAUGUCUGAUCUCUGAAGUUCUUCUGAGUACUGAUAUUCUAAGCAUCCUCAUGUUUUAUAGGUCAUUCACAAUGAUCCAUGUGAUAUCUGAAAGAAAUGCCUUUGGAUUUGUCUUUGGGAAGUAUAAAUGAGGUACAGUGAAUGAAACCUUUAAAGCACUAUGCCAAUUGUAUUAGUUUUCUAUUGCUGUGUAAUGAAAUACAACAGAUUUUGUGGCUUAGAAUAAUACGUAUUUGUUAUCUCACAGUUUCCAUGGGUUAGGAGUCUCAGCAUGGUUUAGCUGGGUCUUCUGCUCAGGGUCUCACAAGGCUGCAGUCAAGGCUAAUUCAUUUCUGGGGCUUGGUCUUUUUCCAAGCUCUGGUUGUUGGCAGAAUUCCUUUUCUUAUGGUUGUAGAAUGGAGGUCUCCAUUUUCUUUUUGGCUGUCAACCAGAGGCAGCUCUCAGCCCCUAGAGGUUGCUGGCAGUUUCUUGCUCUGUGGCUCCCUCAUAAGCCCUUUCAAAACCUGGAAGCUUACUUCUUCAAGCCAAUGGGAAGGAGUCUCUCCCUCCUGUUUGCUAAGACUAAGUCUUAUAUGACCAUACUAAGUUGAAUAGUGUCCCCUCAAAUUCAUGUCUACCUGAAACCUUACAAAGUGACCAUUUUUAAAAAUGGGUCUUUGCAGAUGUAAUUAGUCAAGUUAACAUGAGGUCAUACUGGAGUAGAGUAGGUCCUAAGCUAAUAACUGUUGUCCUUGCAAGAAAAUAGAGGCAUACAGACAAACAGAGGGAAGACAGCCAUAUGGCAGCAGAGCCAAAGAUUGGGGUUUGGCUGCUAUAAGCCAAGGAACACUAAGGAUUUCUGGUAACCACCGAAGCUAGAAGAGGCAAGGAAAGAGUCCUCCCCUAGAGCCUUCAGAGAGGUCAUGGACCUACAGGCACCUUGAUUGCAGACUUUUAGCCUCCAAAACUGUGAGAAAAUACAUUUCUGCUAUUUUCUGAGCCACCAAAUUUGUGGGACUUCAUUAUGGCAGCCCUAGAAAACUAAUACAAUAACAUGAUGUAAUCACAAGAAUAACAAUAUCCCAUUACCAUUGCUAUAUAACAUAACCAAAUCAAGGAAGUGACUGACAUUCUAUCAUCUUUGCUGUUUCUGUUGGUUGGAAGCAAGUCACAAAUUCCUCCUACACUGAAGGGGAAAGAAUUAUACAAGGUAACUCAUUGGGAUCACCUUAGGAUGUACCUGCCACAUCAAUGCAGGUUUAUCUUAUUUUGUGAGAGUGGACCCUUCUAUUAUGUAGGAAUUGAAUUAAACAGCCCUAUCUAACUUUCUUUACCAUUUCUAAUUAUUUUAAAAUUAUCUGAAAAGAUAU